rnacentral:misc_RNA from 1 species
GAUAGGUUUAUAAUGAAUUUCCAAUGCGAUUCUCCGCUAGAGCCAUUACGAGUGCUAAUAAUUAAUGCAAAAUCUCCGGCAGCAAAAUUCCUUGCGGUUAAAAUCCUUUCAGGUGAAAUCUUUGGAAAGAAUCAACUCAUCGAUAUUGUACUCAUGGUUUUUACAAAUGAGCAAUCCAAGGCAACCAGUUUAAAAUUUGAAUUAGAAAAAUGUGCGUUUCCCUGCACCAACUCUAUCGAGAUUUCUUGCAAUUUGCCUAGCUUUUCAGAUGCAGAUGUGUUUUGCCUUUUAACAAAUUUUGAUAACCCUAAUACGUUGAAUUUUAACAAGGCGAAUGAUAACAAACAAUUCGACAUGUUAGAUUUGAUUAUAAAUGUAGCCAGUAACCUUGAAGAAUCGAUACCAGAAGUCCAGGCAGAAGAAACUGCUCAGAACAUUGAAAAGCACAAGAAAAAAACAAUUUUGCCCGAAAAGAAAGCCCGCAAGCCAAUAUUCAUCACGGACGGUUUUGUGUCUAUACAUAUUCUUCUGUCUUUAUCGAGUUUACCCUCUGAUAUAUUUUUUUGUCCUACACCUAUAGCGUCCAUCGCUAAAUCUGUUUUGGGCGAACAUCUAAAGGUCCAGUCCAAAGUCCUUAAUAACGUUCUCGUUUGGGCCGCGAAUGAUGAAAUAUUUCACGUGGAAUUUGAGAAACCACUGAUUCUUGAGGACAAAAUUGGCGGGGCGUCACCGUGUGACCGGGAAACUGUGGGCAAGAAUAUCCUGGCCUUAUCAAACUUAGACCACACGCAGUUCAGUUCUUCUUGGCUGAAAAAGGAUCUUAUAGCGAAGACUCUUGCAGUUGCCCGAAAGAAUCCUUACGGAAGUAUUUACAAGGCGGCAUUGAUUGCAAAAGCUUUGCAGCAGAUUUGGUGGGCGCGGCCAACGAAUUCGACACUUUACACUAAUAUGGGAGUGGUUAGCGACGGAUCUUUGGAGACUAUAAAAGGGUUUUCUUACGUAUUGCCCGUACAGUUUAGUGGUGACGGUUGGAGAGUAAAUGAUCGAUUUAAUGAAGAUGUUCAUCUCAAACAAGAAAUAAAAAGAAUAAACAAAGCAGUAAAAGGAUUUCAUGAAAAGUUGAUACCUUUUUGCAAGAAAAUGUUGUCGGAGUUGGGAGGUUCAUCUUUGCUUGUAGUGGAAGAAGAGGAAAGUCAAGAUGACACAACACGAAACACUGGAAAUCUGCAAAUGUAGUACAACAACAGCAAAUGGAACUAUUGGGGCAUUUUCGCGAGAACAAUCACCAAAAAUAUUUUUUCUAAGAGAUUCGGUCGAUAAAAUUGUCAAGAUGAAUGGUCUACGCCAACACCGGAACAUUAACGCUACCCCAGGGAAAUAUUCUUCGUGUUUUGUAGUAUUCGUGCGACACGAUUAAGUUUUAAAUUGCUCACCUGGUUGUCUAACAGGAUUUGAUGUUUUCGUACAUUGCGGAUUCAUCCUGUACUUUGUCCGUUAUUAAAGCUGCUGUGCAAUAAAAAUCUAUCUGUGUAAACCUAUCGCUUGGAAACAAACACAUGGAUGAAUGAGUCAGUGAAAUGAAAAUGUCGGCGACUAGAUAAUCCGAUGUGUUACCUACUGUAUGUACCUAAUAUGGAAAAUUUAUUAUUGGAUACGUGUCGACUUGUCGAGUGUUUGUAUCUUAUAACUUUUGUGCUGUUAUUUACUUAUAUAUUAUGUUUAUGUUGUAUGUUUUCUCUGCUUUGUAUUGUGCAGAAGCAGUAUCUAUGUACUACCUGUUAUAGAUUAUUAUCUUGACAUUGUAUAA